rnacentral:lncRNA from 1 species
UGAAUAUGAGCGCUGCGUUCGUUUCGAGGACGACUUCAGAGAUAGUCUACGAGUGUUGAUAGCUCCAGAGAGGGAGUGAGAUUUUGCUGCUUUAGUGGAUAAGGUGAAGAUUGCCAAAAAGUGAAGCGUACAGAACAAAAAAACCGUGAGAAGGAUAAAGGUAGGAACAAAAGGGAUUUGGAGCCCUAAAGUUCUUUUUUGAGGCAUA